GAUCCUGGCUCAGGAUGAACGCUGGCGGCGUGCCUAACACAUGCAAGUCGAGCGAUUCUCUUCGGAGAAGAGCGGCGGACGGGUGAGUAACGCGUGGGUAACCUGCCUCAUACACAUGGAUAACAUACCGAAAGGUAUGCUAAUACAGGAUAAUAUAAGAGAUUCACAUGGAUUUCUUAUCAAAGCUCCGGCGGUAUGAGAUGGACCCGCGUCUGAUUAGCUAGUUGGUAAGGUAACGGCUUACCAAGGCGACGAUCAGUAGCCGACCUGAGAGGGUGAUCGGCCACAUUGGAACUGAGACACGGUCCAAACUCCUACGGGAGGCAGCAGUGGGGAAUAUUGCACAAUGGGCGAAAGCCUGAUGCCAGCAACGCCGCGUGAGUGAUGAAGGCCUUCGGGUCGUAAAACUCUGUCCUCAAGGAAGAUAAUGACGGUACUUGAGGAGGAAGCCCCGGCUAACUACGUGCCAGCAGCGGC
rnacentral:rRNA from 1 species